AUGCUGCAUUGGAGUAUGAUUCAGACGAGAAUCUGGUUACAAAAAGAGGGACCCGUGAUAACAGUUCAUCACUUAAUGAUUCUGAUUCAUGCGUGGAGGCUAAUUCAGACGAAACUUCACUUAGCCAGGAGAACAGUUCACUGAAGAAGGAUUCUGAUUCAUACGAGGAACCCGCCCCUGCAGCGACGAAACUUGCAGUUGUCAAGAAAGAUAGUUCAUCUGAGGAUGAACCUUCUUCAGC